GUGGCGAUCGCGCUAUAGAAGUACACUUAAUUCAAGAAGAAGACAACAGUAUGAGAUUAGAGCCAAAGGGAAGUGGAGAGAAGUUCCAGAGGACAUCCACCUGUGCGAUCACAUCAUGAAGACCCACUUCACGCUCUUGAGUGCAGCCCUUCAGCCUUUACGUGAAUUGAAUACUGUUUUCCAGAGUCAUGGCGAACGCUAAAUCAUCCUGGGCUCUGCGGUGUUUCCAUGGCUGGAGUCCAUUUGUGCUCACAUGAUGGAGCUGCCGGAGUCCAGCAGUGUGUCGCUGUGGCCAUGUUCACUCCAACAGGGAACACAAAAAAAAAAAAAACAGCGAGUGUGACUGACAUCACAUGUUCCUUCUGGCAACAAGAUAUGAUAUUUUUAGACAAAAUUCCACUCCUGUUCCUCAUAGAGGAUGAAUAUUUUACAGUUUUUCAGGGUGGAUUUGUCCUUUUUUGCAUAGCAAAAUCAUUUCAAACAGCCUUAAAAUGAAACCCACAUCCUCGGAGCAGAUCCCCUUCAGAUUGAAGCACCGCCACAAAGCUGCUUGUUUACUAACAGAAGCUGCAGAAGGAGAGUAGAGGAGAGGAUGGCAGAACAUCAAGAGGCCCUUUGACUUGUUGUGAGCCGUGUGCCUCGAGUGGAGCAUGUGUGGAGCGGCCUCUUCAUCCACAACCACACCGAGUCUCACAGAAAACCUCUCAGAAACCGAAAGCCCCACCCACAUCGCCAUGAGGUCCCUGCAGGCUCUACAAUGGAAGCAUCUCCAACAGGCAUCCAGGUGAAGAAGUCACCAGGUUUUGCAUUAUUUAUUUUCAGCCUGAAGUAACUAAAAUACACAUAGAUAAUUUACUUUAAUAAUUUUGUCAAAACCCUAUAAAUCUAUGCAUCUGGGAUUUGUAACUUAUCCAUCUGAUUUGACAUCUAUAGUCAUGUAAUUUUCACACUCCUUUAUACAUUUUUGGUACAUUUUACAUUCAGAAGCAUUGAAGCUCCUCCACAAAUAUCAGUUUAGUACAAAUAAAAUCAUUUCCUGUGUGAAAUGACUUGUUUAUGGACGCAUUCACAGUCUGUGUUUCUCUGAACAAUUGCAGCUUGGAAACAGCGACAAAGCUCAACCAGGAACAAUUCUUUCUGCUGUGCUUCACGUUUUCUGCUCUUCAGAUUGUUUAUUUGAACGAUUUGGGGCAUUAAGGGAUUAAGUUUGGUUUGAUUUCCUUUCAUUUUUAACACAAAAUAGUCAAAUAAACGCAACAAACAAGAAAUGAAACAGAGCUUGAAAAAGGAGUGGGUGGGAGGACAUUUUUAAUUCCAAACCUCAAUCUUACUCUAAUUUAGUUUUUACAUAUAAACAAAUACAAUUGGUCAUGUAAACACAAAAGAAUU